rnacentral:rRNA from 1 species
UACGUAGGGGGCUAGCGUUGUCCGGAUUUAUUGGGCGUAAAGCGUGCGCAGGCGGCUUGCUAAGACAGGUGUGAAAGCCCCGAGCUUAACUUGGGAAUGGCGCUUGUGACUGGCAGGCUGGAGUGUGGCGGAGGGAGGUGGAAUUCCACGUGUAGCAGUGAAAUGCGUAGAGAUGUGGAGGAACACCGAUGGCGAAGGCAGCCUCCUGGGCCAACACUGACGCUCAUGCACGAAAGCGUGGGGAGCAAACAGG